GACGAACGCUGGCGGCGUGCUUAACACAUGCAAGUCGAACGAAGUGGCGAACGGGUGAGUAACGCGUAAUCAACCUGCCCUUCCGAGGGGGACAACAGUUGGAAACGACUGCUAAUACCGCAUAAUGAAGGCGGGGAUUGCGUCAGAUUAGCUAGUUGGAGGGGUAACGGCCCACCAAGGCGAUGAUCAGUAGCCGGUCUGAAAGGAUGACCGGCCACAUUGGGACGGAGAAACGGCCCAGACCCCUACGGGGGGCAGCAGUGGGGAAUCUUCCGCAAUGGACGAAAGUCUGACAGGGCAACGCCGCGUGAGUGAUGACGGCCUCGGGUUGUAAAGCUCUGUUAAUCGGGACGCGGUACCGGAAUAGAAAGCCACGGCUAACUACGUGCCAGCAGCCGCGGUAAUAC
rnacentral:rRNA from 1 species